GGAGAAGCAAAGUGAUGAGCAUUGCUGGCUGGAGCCCCAAAGAGGCACACGUGUGUGUGUGUGUAUGUAUGUACAUAUCUGUGCCCUUGUCUGUGCAUGCACAUGCAUGUCUGGGAGUAUGAGUGUGUGUGUGACUGGUGGUAGGGAACAAGUUAUGUGCCUUCUGUUGGACCAUGACAGUCAAACUGAUAAGAUCUGAUUGCUUC